rnacentral:rRNA from 1 species
AUUGAACGCUGGCGGCAUGCCUCACACAUGCAAGUCGAACGGCAGCACGGGAGCAAUCCUGGUGGCGAGUGGCGAACGGGUGAGUAAUACAUCGGAACGUGCCCAAUCGUGGGGGAUAACGCAGCGAAAGCUGUGCUAAUACCGCAUACGAUCCACGGAUGAAAGCAGGGGAUCGCAAGACCUUGCGCGAAUGGAGCGGCCGAUGGCAGAUUAGGUAGUUGGUGAGGUAAAGGCUCACCAAGCCGUCGAUCUGUAGCUGGUCUGAGAGGACGACCAGCCACACUGGGACUGAGACACGGCCCAGACUCCUACGGGAGGCAGCAGUGGGGAAUUUUGGACAAUGGGCGAAAGCCUGAUCCAGCCAUGCCGCGUGCAGGAUGAAGGCCUUCGGGUUGUAAACUGCUUUUGUACGGAACGAAACGGCCUUUUCUAAUAAAGAGGGCUAAUGACGGUACCGUAAGAAUAAGCACCGGCUAACUACGUGCCAGCAGCCGCGGUAAUACGUAGGGUGCAAGCGUUAAUCGGAAUUACUGGGCGUAAAGCGUGCGCAGGCGGUUAUGUAAGACAGUUGUGAAAUCCCCGGGCUCAACCUGGGAACUGCAUCUGUGACUGCAUAGCUAGAGUACGGUAGAGGGGGAUGGAAUUCCGCGUGUAGCAGUGAAAUGCGUAGAUAUGCGGAGGAACACCGAUGGCGAAGGCGGCCUUCUGGGCCAUAACUGACGCUGAGGAGCGAAAGCUAGGGGAGCAAACAGG